rnacentral:tRNA from 1 species
GGCAGGUUAGCUCAAUCAGUUGAGCGUGGCGCUGGCAACACCAAGGUCGCGGGUUCGAUUCCCGUUCGGUCC